CGUUUGAAACUAUGGUUUAUCGCACGUGGUUAUAAUUGAACACUUCUACUGUAAGUUCCCACUGAAAAUCCAGCUUCCUACCACGGCAGUCGUGCAGAGUAUUGAGAAUAUAUGUUGGACAAACUCCUUGUAAUAUGAAGAAACCUUCAUUGACAACUUGUAUCUUCAUAAUGUUUGAAGAAGCUGCUAGUAAAGAACAAUGAAGAUAAAUUUGCAAUACCAAACUGCAGUUGUUAGCAAGAAAUGCCUGCUUUUUAUAUAUCACAACAGUAGUUCACACUAAAAACAGUGUAACUUACCUUGCAUUCUUCAGAGACAUAUGUUGUUAGGUUGGUGUUUUCUCUUCCUUUUUCUCUGACAUUGUUUCUGUUUGCAUGUAAACAUACCAGUAUUUAUUUGUAUAUAAAGUGCAGGCUUUGACUUUA